UGUUGGUAAAGCGGAUGGAUCAGACUACAGGGGAACUGUAUCUGUCACAGUAUCAGGACACGUCUGCCAGAGAUGGGACUCUCAAUCACCUAAUAAACACAGCAGAACUGCUGAGAGAUACUCUGAUUCAGGACUGCAAGAGAACUAUUGCAGAAAUCCAGACGGUGAAUCAGGCGCCUGGUGUUAUAAUGCUGAGGGAACUGUGCCUCGAUGGGAGUAUUGUGAUAUACC